GCUUCUUUCAUCGGUAUUGAUUAUGGCAUGUCAAUUGCACUGCUUGUUAUGGUUAACCUGCUAAAUGUCCUUCCAGUAAACUACCAGUGGGUGACAUUGAUAAUAGAUAACACUUGAAGUGCCAAUUUAUCUUCCAUCUAGUCAAGGUUGAUUUUUGAGAUACAAAACUGAACUGCUACCCUCCAGAAGAUUUAGGUCGUUCAUUGUUCAAAGAAACUAUGUAGCGUUUUGAUUAGUUCUAUGAUACUUGUGGCAUUUCGGAUAUUCCUCGAGAACUUGCUGAACUUGGAUUUUGGGUCUCUCUUGGGAGAGCAGUUAGUCUAUGAUUCACUGUUAUCCUCUUGUAUGGUAAAUAAAUCUCCCUACUUGUAUGGUAAAUAAAGCUCCUUUUGGUCA